UGACAAAAAAUGGUUAUGUGCUCAAUCAAUUUGUUUUUUGGUUUGUUCAGUUUUGGCCUUGUGGGAAUAUAACUAGCUUUUUAUUUUUUAAGGUUCUAGAUCUGGUUUUUAUUUUCAUAAUUUUGGUUAGUGAUAACAAGCAACCCUCACUUUUUUGUUUUUCUGCUAAUGUCAUGCUGGGAAUUUUAGUUCUGCAUUUUAAUACCCAGUUUCAUCAAAUUCUUGUUCAGUCACCUAGAUGAGUGUGCCCAGGCACCCUUCUUUUACAUGCCUAUGUGACAAUGCACAUGGGCAAGUCCUGUUAGGUCUUUCUCCACUCAAGUUCAGUCUAAUAUGGACUUUAUUUGAUGCGCUUACUGGAAACAAACCAAGAAAUUUCCCUUUGUAACCCUUACCAUCGUAAUUCACUGAAUAUUUUGGAUUUGCACCUUCUGAUUUUUCUUUGCCUUAACGUCAUCUUGCUGAAGUUUGUUUUGUCCAUAAUUACACAAACGUAAACCCAAAUUAUCCAUCAAAUGUUGAGUUCAUAGUUGUCAAAAGCGUGCCUAGGCGCCAAGCGCACUAAAGUGAUGAUGUUUGUGCCUUAGAGGGUAUGGAUAUUUUUUUCAAAUAAAUGAAAGCUGGAUUAUAUAUUGUUGUAGAGGGAUUCUUUUAACUUCAUUUUUGGUUACCUUGUCUGUUAUUCAUGGAGUUCUUGCCUAAUUGUUGGAAUUAGGUUCUUGUCUUGGUUGAUAUAGUUUCUGCAGCUGCAAAUGCUAUGCCUAGUAUGGGAAGAUAUCCUCCUUUCAAGAGAGAGGUCGUGGCAAUUGCCAGUGCUGGACUGGAUGUGUUUCAGAAUGAAAGCCAUGAAAAUGGUGGUUGCACUAGUUGAUAUGGAGCAAGCUUUUGUGCCCUUCAACACUUUAUAGGUCUUGUGCAAAGAAGGAUGGAGAGAUUGUGGAGGGAAGAGGAGCUGAAGACUCGUUCCUCAAAAAAAGGAAACGAAGGCAACUUGUCCUUAAACAGGCGGUUAACAAACUGGCGAAAGCCUGGAAUCAAUGAAGGACAAAUCCGACUAAUUGGAUAAAGAUGUGCCAAAGGGGUCAGCUUCUAAGACUGCUGGUCCUUGUGAAAUAACACAGUAGAGAUCUUUGUGAGGAUGCUUUGGAGCCGACUUUGCCAUUAGCCUCUUAUUCAUGCCAUAACUUGUCAAAGGGAAUAUGCAGCUUUUCUCUAUGGAUCCGUAGUUGAGUCAAGCUUUGGAAGCGCAAGUUUCAUCGUUUGCCUCACUAAAACUGAUUGGUGUCAUGUCUUACCCCCACAUGACUGGACUGUGCGGCUCGAAGGCGGGAUACGACAAUGGCUGGCCGACCACUGCCGAAUCAAAAGCAAAAAUCUGAGAUUCAGUUAGGCGAGCAGAUCAGGCUCGCGAGUAGAGAUUGACUUGAGAUGCCCUUGUGGGAAGGGUAUGUAUUUUUGAGAUAACAGUAUUUUUGGGAUAGUCUUUAGAUUGUAGUGACGACACUGGGUAUUUUGUAUUGUAAAUAUAUUAUAAAGCACUAUAGUUUUCUAGUAUUGUGUUGUAUAUAGCAGUUCCCAGUUUUGUGUACUGCUGCUUAGAUAUGUAUUAUAGACAGAGUUUCCUUAGUGCUCUUUGAGCUUGGGAUGUUU